GCUCUUCAAUGUCCUGUUGGUUUGGGCCAAGGUCCGUCCACGGAGGGUAAGACAAGGGCUAAGAUCAGGCCAAAAGGCGUCGUCGAUUGACAGCACGUGAAUAUUCCUCUACUACCCAUUGUUGGUCCCGAGGGGCGCUGAUCCUGAUGAGCUAUGGAACAAAUGCUUGCCGUCUGCUCGCCCGCACAUCCUUAGCAGAUCACUAUCUUCUUUCACUCGAAACACUAAAAGACGGCUUCGCUUCCUUCUUUGUGACUCACCUGUUCUGCCAGAAGAUGCCGAUGUGGUAAUUAUUCUCUCUGCAAUCUAUCAAAAUUUGUUGAUUUAGUCGUGUGUAAAUUUGGCUCCCCUUCCUUGUUGAAAAUAAUUAGGUCCUUCAUAUGAAAUAUUUAACACUUAUUAAAAAUGUAAUAUUAAAAAAUAUCAUGUUAAUAUAACAUUUUUUGGGGAAUAAUUCCAUAUUCUACAAAGACGGGAACAUGCACCAAUGAAAAGUUUUGUGUUUCACUGUUAAGUUUGGACAAAAAAUAAUUUGUUUCUUCCUGCUACGGACUUUAGCAACUGUUCUUCCUGUCUUCAUUUGCUUUUAUAGCUUGCCAGGAAAAGAAAUUACCAAAUGUACAUCUUACUUUAGUUUGGUAGCCUCUGUGUAAAAACUAUUAUCUUCAAGGCGGCAAUGUCGUUUGUUUCCCCAGUCCUGCAAUAGCAAAUAGAGCAUAGUUUUUCUUAUAAAUGGAGUAGCUAUAUCCUGGUUGUUGUGAUUUGGUAUUGCUGCUGUAAUGUGUUUCUCGAUGCUGCAAUCUUGUGAUUUUAAUUGCCAGUCCUGUUGGUAUCUAAAACCCGCAAUCCGGGAUUUAUUAACAUGGUCCCGGGUCGAUUACUGUUGGAGUCACUUGAUGCAGCGAAAGAGUAAUAUUGUCACAAAUGAUACAUGAUCCAAUUAAGAUCUUUUCUUACCAUGCUAACAAAUUCACAAUAACUAACUUGAAUAAUAUGACAAGUAUUUGUCCUGUAACUGCCACCUUUACCACAGCCAGUGAAUUGACAUUAACUCAUUCGAUCACACCGAUAUUGACAAUCUGUAUAAGACUCGAGUUUUUUGUCGACACAAAUCCAAAUGCUUCCACGGUACUCCGCACUGUUGUUUUGCAAGUAAUGUUAAACAGAUCCUUAAUAAAGACAAGUUAAUGUACUGUAUUUUGGUUUAAGUAUCAAUGCAGGUACAGAGUCAAAUGCGGUUCACUUGCUGGAACACAUAAAAUCUUCCAAAGACAGAGAGGUAUGGCUUAUUGUACUUGAAUGCCAUUAAACAAAAAAGAUUUCAGCCAUAUAGAAUUGUAACUGAAAUCUGACUAUUAAGAUGGAAAUCAAAGACGAUAUGCAAUCCACCUUCAUCACUCAGACAUCUAUUUAAGCUCUCAUGCAAAAAGGAUCAAAUACAUCAUUCACAACAAAUUCCAUCGUCUACAACAUAUGUAAAAUAUAUUAUAUAAUAGUUGGGUUUUACGCAGUUGCAGGUAUGACUACACCAACUCAAAGCGAGGGAGAUCUGUAUUCAACAGCGAACUCUUCGGAGAGUCUUGUAGACCCUAUACACUACAGCUUAUCACAAAGCUUGCCAUUGGAAGAGAGAUAUAAGCUUGAUCGGGACUGGAAACGUAAUGAGGCGGAGCACUCUUAUUCAGAGGCAAAAAAAAACUAUGAGCUACACAUGGGACUACAGG
rnacentral:lncRNA from 1 species